AGCAGAGUGAUGGAGUGGUGGAGAAACUACAUAGGUUCCAGAUGAAAAGGUGCAUGUGUGUUCCAAUUAGCACAAGUGCA